CAUGCAAGUCGAGCGGACAGAAGGGAGCUUGCUCCCGGAUGUUAGCGGCGGACGGGUGAGUAACACGUGGGUAACCUGCCUGUAAGACUGGGAUAACUCCGGGAAACCGGAGCUAAUACCGGAUAGUUCCUUGAACCGCAUGGUUCAAGGAUGAAAGACGGUUUCGGCUGUCACUUACAGAUGGACCCGCGGCGCAUUAGCUAGUUGGUGAGGUAACGGCUCACCAAGGCGACGAUGCGUAGCCGACCUGAGAGGGUGAUCGGCCACACUGGGACUGAGACACGGCCCAGACUCCUACGGGAGGCAGCAGUAGGGAAUCUUCCGCAAUGGACGAAAGUCUGACGGAGCAACGCCGCGUGAGUGAUGAAGGUUUUCGGAUCGUAAAGCUCUGUUGUUAGGGAAGAACAAGUGCAAGAGUAACUGCUUGCACCUUGACGGUACCUAACCAGAAAGCCACGGCUAACUACGUGCCAGCAGCCGCGGUAAUACGUAGGUGGCAAGCGUUGUCCGGAAUUAUUGGGCGUAAAGGGCUCGCAGGCGGUUUCUUAAGUCUGAUGUGUAAGCCCCCGGCUCAUCCGGGUAGGGUCAUUGGA
rnacentral:rRNA from 1 species